rnacentral:rRNA from 1 species
AACGAACGCUGGCGGCAGGCUUAACACAUGCAAGUCGAGCGCCCCGCAAGGGGAGCGGCAGACGGGUGAGUAACGCGUGGGAACGUACCCUUUGCUACGGAAUAGCUCCGGGAAACUGGAAUUAAUACCGUAUGUGCCCUACGGGGGAAAGAUUUAUCGGCAAAGGAUCGGCCCGCGUUGGAUUAGCUAGUUGGUGGGGUAAUGGCCUACCAAGGCGACGAUCCAUAGCUGGUCUGAGAGGAUGAUCAGCCACAUUGGGACUGAGACACGGCCCAAACUCCUACGGGAGGCAGCAGUGGGGAAUAUUGGACAAUGGGCGCAAGCCUGAUCCAGCCAUGCCGCGUGAGUGAUGAAGGCCUUAGGGUUGUAAAGCUCUUUCAGUAGGGAAGAUAAUGACGGUACCUACAGAAGAAGCCCCAGCUAACUUCGUGCCAGCCGCCGCCGUAAAAC